CCUGGGCUUCUUAUGAACUCAGGAAAUUGAGAUAAUGGAUCAUGGAUGCUCUGGUGAAGAGUUCCAAUCCUUCUUAGCUGUUGAAAGCUUGAAU